UUGAAGAGUUUGAUCAUGGCUCAGAUUGAACGCUGGCGGCAGGCCUAACACAUGCAAGUCGAGCGGUAGCACAGAGAGCUUGCUCUCGGGUGACGAGCGGCGGACGGGUGAGUAAUGUCUGGGAAACUGCCUGAUGGAGGGGGAUAACUACUGGAAACGGUAGCUAAUACCGCAUAAUGUCGCAAGACCAAAGUGGGGGACCUUCGGGCCUCAUGCCAUCAGAUGUGCCCAGAUGGGAUUAGCUAGUAGGUGGGGUAACGGCUCACCUAGGCGACGAUCCCUAGCUGGUCUGAGAGGAUGACCAGCCACACUGGAACUGAGACACGGUCCAGACUCCUACGGGAGGCAGCAGUGGGGAAUAUUGCACAAUGGGCGCAAGCCUGAUGCAGCCAUGCCGCGUGUGUGAAGAAGGCCUUCGGGUUGUAAAGCACUUUCAGCGGGGAGGAAGGCGAUAAGGUUAAUAACCUUGUCGAUUGACGUUACCCGCAGAAGAAGCACCGGCUAACUCCGUGCCAGCAGCCGCGGUAAUACGGAGGGUGCAAGCGUUAAUCGGAAUUACUGGGCGUAAAGCGCACGCAGGCGGUCUGUCAAGUCGGAUGUGAAAUCCCCGGGCUCAACCUGGGAACUGCAUUCGAAACUGGCAGGCUAGAAUGCGUAGAGAUCUGGAGGAAUACCGGUGGCGCGGUGAAAUGCGUAGAGAUCUGGAGGAAUACCGGUGGCGAAGGCGGCCCCCUGGACAAAGACUGACGCUCAGGUGCGAAAGCGUGGGGAGCAAACAGGAUUAGAUACCCUGGUAGUCCACGCCGUAAACGAUGUCGAUUUGGAGGUUGUGCCCUUGAGGCGUGGCUUCCGGAGCUAACGCGUUAAAUCGACCGCCUGGGGAGUACGGCCGCAAGGUUAAAACUCAAAUGAAUUGACGGGGGCCCGCACAAGCGGUGGAGCAUGUGGUUUAAUUCGAUGCAACGCGAAGAACCUUACCUGGUCUUGACAUCCACAGAACUUAGCAGAGAUGCUUUGGUGCCUUCGGGAACUGUGAGACAGGUGCUGCAUGGCUGUCGUCAGCUCGUGUUGUGAAAUGUUGGGUUAAGUCCCGCAACGAGCGCAACCCUUAUCCUUUGUUGCCAGCGGUCCGGCCGGGAACUCAAAGGAGACUGCCAGUGAUAAACUGGAGGAAGGUGGGGAUGACGUCAAGUCAUCAUGGCCCUUACGACCAGGGCUACACACGUGCUACAAUGGCAUAUACAAAGAGAAGCGACCUCGCGAGAGCAAGCGGACCUCAUAAAGUAUGUCGUAGUCCGGAUUGGAGUCUGCAACUCGACUCCAUGAAGUCGGAAUCGCUAGUAAUCGUAGAUCAGAAUGCUACGGUGAAUACGUUCCCGGGCCUUGUACACACCGCCCGUCACACCAUGGGAGUGGGUUGCAAAAGAAGUAGGUAGCUUAACCUUCGGGAGGGCGCUUACCACUUUGUGAUUCAUGACUGGGGUGAAGUCGUAACAAGGUAACCGUAGGGGAACCUGCGGUUGGAUCACCUCCUU
rnacentral:rRNA from 1 species